UCCAGUGGUCGUCGGCUGUCCUGUGCUAACAGUGCCUGUGAUGGUGUUAUACUGCUGGGGUAUAGACAUUGCCGCACUAUGCUUUCUGUCAUUGACACCAUUCUGGUGUCAGUGACACUAGUAUCUGGCAAUGCUAUGCUUCUUUGAGAGUGCGCCAACAUUAGCCUUGGCUCUUUGGUGCUAGUCUGGAAGCAUACAAU